UACGUAGGGUGCAAGCGUUGUCCGGAAUUAUUGGGCGUAAAGAGCUCGUAGGCGGUCUGUCGCGUCGGAUGUGAAAAUCCAGGGCUUAACCCUGGGCCUGCAUUCGAUACGGGCAGACUAGAGUUCGGUAGGGGAGACUGGAAUUCCUGGUGUAGCGGUGAAAUGCGCAGAUAUCAGGAGGAACACCUAUGGCGAAGGCAGCUCUCUGGGACGGUACUGACGCUGAGACGCGAAAGCGUGGGGAGCGAACAGG
rnacentral:rRNA from 1 species